GUACGUGCGCGUGUAAAUACGAGCGCCGCGCGGGGCCGGAGCCGGCUCCGUCCUGGGACCAACCCUGCGUGCCGGCCGUGAAGAACUGCGUUCCUGAGCCCUACCUACUUUUCCUCGGAGCGCCGGCACCGUGGAGCAGCGGCAUGCAACGCGGGCCGCUGUCGCCCAGUCCCAGUGACGGUCUUGGCGCGCUCGGAACUACGUAUCCCGGCGUGCACCGCGGACAGAGCAUGGCGGGACUACGAGUCCCAGCGUUCAACGCAGGCCUGCGUGCCAUUACCCCAUCACGCGCUGAGACCCAGCAUCCCGAGACUACGAGUUCCGGCAUGCACCGCGAGCCGCUCUCCUCCACUCCCAUCGCGCACUGUGAGUCGCAACGUCGCGGGACUACGGGUCCCGGCAUGCCUUGCGCGCCGCGGGCCCAGAGACGUGAGGCUGUCGGCGUCCUGGUGGCCCCGCCUCGUGUCCCCCCCCGGACCCCACGCCGCGGGAGCUUGGGGGUUGCGGUCUUCUCUUCCUCCGACCUCACCUUCGAUGCGGAAGCGCAGGGGCAGGUGCGCCGCCCUCGGCCCGCGCAGGCGGUGGGCCCGUCUGGGGCAAGGCGCCCGGAAGCGCCUGGUUGGUUCAGAAAAUCGGACCGCAGCGGGAGGGCGGGCACCGGCGCGUGGUCUCAGUGGCCCCAGGCGAACCCUGAUGAGCAGCAGCCGCAAGUGGCUUACUAAAGGAGCCACUUUCUACGUUUGUCUGGAAUUUACGUGAAUUAAGCUGGCGGGCGGGCGGCCAGGCCUGUAGUCUCAGCACUUUGGGAGGCUCAGCACUUCGGGAGGCUGUGGCGGGCGGAUCACCUGAGCCUGGGAGUUGGAGACCAGCCUGCGCAACGUAGCAAGACCCUAUCUCUAAAACAGAUUCAUUAAUACUUAGCCAGGCGCGGUGGCUGAGGUCCCAGCUACUCGGCAGGCCCAGGCUGGCCUGAGCCAGACCGCUCUGGACUGUUUUAAUUUUUUCAGCCUUAAUACCUGCCAGAAUUUUUUUUUUACUAUGUAUCUUUGUCCUUACGUAUAUAAAUUUUAUAUACAAUUGAGAUUAUCCUGUAUUUGCUUUUCCCCCCUCACUUUUAUAUGGUGACUUUUCUCAUGUUAGGCUGAAUACUAACAUUUUGGAAACUGUCGGCCUGAAAACGAGCGGAGACACAGUUUCUCUAAGUAGAGAGUUUAUUUGGGCCACACUUGAGCACAAAUUCAAGGCGCCCUGAAUGUGUACUCCGAUUAGCAGUUAACAGUGGAUUUUAAAGGCAAAAAAGGGGGCCAGGGAGUGGACUAAUAGGAACUUGUUUGUGAGGAAUUCUCACUGGUUUACAGAAAUAACAUUGAUUAGUGACUGACUAUAUGUUGUUCAGCUAUUGAGUGUGGGUAUAGUGUCCAUUGUGGCGUCAUUAGGUUAAUUUAUAGCUGUUUGUGGCGCUGUUGCCACCAGUAGCAGUUUAAAGAGGUGAACACAGGUCAAGGGGUAGUAGGGCGCGAUUGUCGCCUCAUUUGAAUGUCUCUCUCGGCCUGAUAAUUAAAAGAACUCGCGUUCCUCAGAUAAAAAUUCUCUUUUCUCAAAACCAUUUAAAUGUGGUAAUUAGAAUGGCCCAGAAGGGGCACAGUGCCUUUUAGCCCUCGCCAUUACUUGCUCUUAGGAGUGCAUUUUUUGUAGCUGUGGGUUUUUGACUAUCUCUGCUGCUUUCUCCAGCCCCUACCCUCGUGACUACAAGGGAAAACGUGCGGUGCUCACGAGAGAGCCUUUAUGGGAUUUUUAAAAAAUGGGGAUUGUGGGAAAAUGGCUCCAGCAGUCACAGUUUUUCAGUUUCUCACAAUCCCAUAAAAACAGAGCAACCAGGUAACAAAACUAAAGCAUGGGCAACAUUUACAGACCACUGGAUGGUGAAGAAUUCCCAUGAACCCCUGGUUCACACUGUAAGGACACACUACUCAGCAUGGGCAACAUUUACAGACUACUGGAUGGUGAAGAAUUCCCAUGAACCCCUGGUUCACACUGUAAGGACAGACUACUCAGCAUGGGCAACAUUUACAGACCACUGGAUGAUGAAGAAUUCCCAUGAACUCCUGGUUCCAACUGUAAGGACACACUACUCAGCUGUAGCCUGAAGCCGCCUCCUUACAUACUGAAAGUGACGUGUGCAUAUUCCACUUGGGGCCUGGGGCAACACCCUCAUCAAACUGAUAUUCCUGCAGCAAAAUACAAGCAGGACGAAAAGGAUCAUGGGUCGUCUCGUGCCAAAUCAGGGGAAGGCGCCCAGUCCCCAGGAGCACAAUCUGUCCUGGCCAUGCUUGUCCACCGAACUGCAGCUUACACUCUGCAGGUCCUGGAGCCCAAGAAAGACCCCGGGAGGGAGCUCCCGGCCAC
rnacentral:lncRNA from 1 species